rnacentral:rRNA from 1 species
AGAGUUUGAUCCUGGCUCAGGAUGAACGCUAGCGAUAGGCUUAACACAUGCAAGUCGAGGGGCAGCAUUAUUUUAGCUUGCUAAGAUAGAUGGCGACCGGCGCACGGGUGCGUAACGCGUAUGCAACCUGCCUGUAAUUAGGGAAUAACCCGGUGAAAGUCGGACUAAUACCCUAUAUUCUUCUUUCUCCGCAUGGGGGAGGACGGAAAGAUUUAUUGAUUACAGAUGGGCAUGCGUCCCAUUAGCUAGUUGGUAAGGUAACGGCUUACCAAGGCAACGAUGGGUAGGGGGACUGAGAGGUUGACCCCCCACACUGGUACUGAGACACGGACCAGACUCCUACGGGAGGCAGCAGUGAGGAAUAUUGGUCAAUGGGCGAGAGCCUGAACCAGCCAAGUCGCGUGAAGGACGACGGUUCUAUGGAUUGUAAACUUCUUUUGUAGAGGAAUAAUGGCAGCUACGUGUAGCUGAGAUGCAUGUACUCUACGAAUAAGUAUCGGCUAACUCCGUGCCAGCAGCCGCGGUAAUACGGAGGAUACGAGCGUUAUCCGGAAUUAUUGGGUUUAAAGGGUGCGUAGGUGGCGUAUUAAGUCAGUGGUGAAAAGCUGCAGCUCAACUGUAGUCUUGCCGUUGAAACUGAUAUGCUAGAGAGGAGACGAGGUAUGCGGAAUGUGUGGUGUAGCGGUGAAAUGCAUAGAUAUCACACAGAACGCCGAUUGCGAAGGCAGCGUACCAGGCUCCGUCUGACACUGAAGCACGAAAGCGUGGGGAUCAAACAGGAUUAGAUACCCUGGUAGUCCACGCAGUAAACGAUGAAUACUAGAUUUUUGCGAUAUAGUGUAAGAGUCUAAGCGAAAGCGAUAAGUAUUCCACCUGGGGAGUACGCCGGCAACGGUGAAACUCAAAGGAAUUGACGGGGGCCC